rnacentral:rRNA from 1 species
UUCCUACGGGGGGCAGCAGUGAGGAAUAUUGGUCAAUGGUCGGGGGACUGAACCAGCCAAGCCGCGUGAGGGAUGAAGGUACAGAGUAUCGUAAACCUCUUUUGUCAGGGAACAAAGGCGGGGACGUGUCCCCGGAUGAGUGUACCUGAAGAAAAAGCAUCGGCUAACUCCGUGCCAGCAGCCGCGGUAAUACGGAGGAUGCGAGCGUUAUCCGGAUUUAUUGGGUUUAAAGGGUGCGUAGGCGGUUUGUCAAGUCAGCGGUAAAAAUUCCGGGCUCAACCCGGUCCCGCCGUUGAAACUGGCGA